rnacentral:rRNA from 1 species
CCUACGGGAGGCAGCAGUGAGGAAUAUUGGUCAAUGGGCGGAAGCCUGAACCAGCCAAGUCGCGUGAGGGAUUAAGGCCCUGCGGGUCGUAAACCUCUUUUGCCGGGGAGCAGGGGUCCGGACGCGUCCGGACCGGGAGAGGACCCGGAGAAAAAGCAGGGGCUCACUCCGUGCCAGCAGCCGCGGUAAUACGGAGGAUGCGAGCGUGAUCCGGAUUGAUUGGGUUGAACGGGUGCGUAGGCGGGCAUUGAAGCCGGCGGUCAACUGUCGGGGCUCACCCCCGGCCUGCCGGCGGUACUGGGUGCCUUGAGUGGGCGAGACGUAUGCGGAAUGCGUGGUGUAGCG